CUCCGGGCAGCAGUGUCCCUAUAGGACUAGGAGCAUGUGUGAUGUUUAGCUUCUUUCGGUAAAUCCAGGGCUUUGUGUCACCCCCUCCCCAGGUCCUCUUACCCUACCACUGUGACAUGGCCGCCGGUGGCACAUUGACGCCUGUAUCCAUUCCUGACGGAGCUAAGCCGGAUCAGCCGUGUCGUCGACGCACUCUCGCUGCUUCCUCCCAGAACAUAAUCACAGUCAGUCUGCAGCCUCAGAAAUCCCCCAUCAUCACCAGCACUUCCAGCAGCAUCACCACCACCAUCAUCGUCGUCAUCAUCAUCAAAGGCUCCACCAUGUCUGUCAAUCAGGUGAAGCGCCAUGCAUCGGAAGACAAGUGGAAUUCAGGAAAUGGAGAGAACGACAGGUAGAGAGGGAACAAAUUAAGGUUGUGGGCGAAAGCCAAAGCAGCUGUAUUUUUGUGCCACUGCCCACUACGUCAUUGAUUUCACAGACAGCAUUUUUGUAUGAAGACAUCCUAAUGUUGUCAUGUCUAAAAAUCGAGAAAACGAUUCAAAACACAAAACAAAUAUAAUUAUAUUAUUCCAAAUAAAUUGAAAAUGGGUAUUUAUCA
ensembl:lncRNA